UACGUAGGGUGCGAGCGUUUAAUCGGAAUUACUGGGCGUAAAGCGUGCGCAGGCGGUUCGUUGUGUCGGCGGUGAAAGCCCCGGGCUUAACCUGGGAAUGGCCGUUGAAACUGGCGAACUGGAGUGUGGCAGAGGGGGUGGAAUUCCGCGUGUAGCAGUGAAAUGCGUAGAGAUGCGGAGGAACACCGAUGGCGAAGGCAGCCCCUGGGCUAACACUGACGCUCAGGCACGGAAAGCGUGGGGAGCAAACAGG
rnacentral:rRNA from 1 species